GUGUAGCUUAAGAUGAUUUGGAUUUUUUUAUUAUUUUUAAAAGUGAGUUAAAAAAGCACUCCGAUACAAUAUUGAAGGUAUUUAUAUUUUAACACUACCUUUGUAUAGGUGGUUUUAUGUACCUUUAACCGUCUCAAACCAAAUAACAUUUUCUUGGUAUUUGAAAAACUGAUAAAAUAUUUGAUUAUGUGUAUUUUAAUAUAUAUACAUAGAGUGGUAUGGAUGUUGCAUUU